rnacentral:lncRNA from 1 species
GCAGUUGCAAGCGUUGGGGGACAGCUGGUGCGCCCCGAUUAAACCGAUUCAUUUUGCCCGGCGCGGCAGGGCACCGAAGGGCCUCUGGCUGGUGACUGGCACUCUGCGGGGCGCCCGGAACCAAUUUCCGGAGGGUGAUGGAUUUCUUCUCCUUGGCUGCUCUCAAGCUGCGCUUCCUUCCGUGGCGGGGAGCAAAGCACUUUCAGAAGAGCCGUCUCCCGGGACUGACCCCCGGGGAGGGGGCUUCGGAAGGAAACAUCCGGGCCAGGCCCACCUGUGAGUGACGGCAGGUGGAAGAAAUGAACACAUCCCUCCCCUCCGGACCCCGCCGGCCGGAACCAGGGGAUGUUGGACGUGGCUCCUUCCCCUCUUAAUAUAAAAGACGCCUGACCUCUAACGCAGAUCAAUUGGUCACGUCUCCCUCAGAGGCCUUCCUGGACCAGUCGGGCGGCGGGAGCAUCUUCUGACCUUGAGAAGCGGGCUGAGGGACUAGAGCCUGUCUGGGCUGAUCCCAGGAGAGGCGCAACAGCUGGCGCCUGACUGCCUGCACCUGCUGGGGGGUGGGGGCAGGUGGACGCUGGAGACGGAUCUGGGGACACUUAAUGGGGUAGAGAGCACUCCACAGCCUUUUAAGGGGAGGAGGUGACAGGGCUGAUGGAAGUGAUUUCCAAUCUGAACAAGGCCAGACGUGACCACCGUUUGGAGGUGGCAGCCCGCAAACCCAGCACGGAGGGUCCGAAGCGAACGCGAGUCCCCCUAAAACCAAGUCCCUCUGCGGAGUUUAUGAUUCCAACACCUGUUCCCCUCAACACGGAGGCGCAUCAAAGAAAAGGGGGCAUGGAAACCAAGCAGGACCAAGCCUUUCUGUGUCCCCCGUUCCUGGAUUGCAGGGACAAGGCUUCAGCCUCCAAGACCUUCCCUGAGUUCCAAAGAGCAGAUUCAAACCAUUAGUAAUUAGGCCAGGAGGGGAUGCUGAAGCGGUGGAGGAGCCCCCAAGAAACAAUAAAGCAGCAUUAAAGCA